rnacentral:rRNA from 1 species
AGCGCAGGCGGGAAGACAAGUUGGAAGUGAAAACCAUGGGCUCAACCCAUGAAUUGCUUUCAAAACUGUUUUUCUUGAGUAGUGCAGAGGUAGAUGGAAUUCCCGGUGUAGCGGUGGAAUGCGUAGAUAUCGGGAGGAACACCAGUGGCGAAGGCGGGUCUACUGGGCACCAACUGACGCUGAGGCUCGAAAGCAUGGGUAGCAAACA